UUUGAAAAACAAGACAAGUAUGCCACAACAUGCCUAUAUAACAGAAGAUCUUUCAAAAGAGAGAAUAGAACAAAGAAAAUGUCUGCAAAAACAGCUAAAAUUAGAACGAGAAAAUGAUCCCAAAUACGGCUGUUCACCGAGGGGUAAUAGAUCACAACCCCUAAAAGCUUGCCAGGACAAAGAUAAAGAA